AACGAACGCUGGCGGCAUGCCUAACACAUGCAAGUCGAACGAGACCUUCGGGUCUAGUGGCGCACGGGGGCGUAACGCGUGGGAACCUGCCCGUAGGUUCGGAAUAACUCCCCGAAAGGGGUGCUAAGACCGGAGAAGGUCUUCGGGCCAAAGAUUUAUCGCCUUUGGAUGGGCGCGCGUUGGAUUAGCUGGUUGGUAGGGUAAAAGCCUACCAAGGCGACGAUCCAUAGCUGGUCGGAGAGGAUGAUCAGCCACACUGGGACUGCGACACGGCCCAGAACGCUACGGGGGGGAGCAGUGGGGAGUAUUGGACGCUGGGGGCAGGCCUGAUACCGCCGUGCGGCGGGAGUGAUGAAGGCCUUAGGGUUGUACAGCUCUUUUACCCGGGACGAGAAUGACGGUACCGGGAGAAUAAGCUCCGGCUAACUCCGUG
rnacentral:rRNA from 1 species